UCUGGUUGGAGAUCUCUUCUUGGUGGAGCUUUCCCUGCUGAGCCUGGAAUCUUCUGAUACAGAGGACAGGGAUAGGAAGAAAAUACUUCAUUUGAAAGUUAGUAUUUGAGGAACUGCGUGUAACUGGCAUCCUGUGAACAAGCCUGGGGCAGACCUCGGGCCACAGCCAAAUGCAACCUGAAAGCUUCUGGCCAUCAGCUCCAGGACACCUGUGCUGACAUCCAGCACACUCCAUGCAGAAGAACUGAUGGAGAAAGAAGGGAGUCACAGGUGAUGGGGGCUGUGGUGCUAAAUGCACCGGUUCUUAGCAAUGUGUCCCAUAGGAGGGGAUAUGAUAUAAUUACUCAAGCUAUGGUGAGCAGCAUCAUACUAAGAAAGCAAAGAAGCAAGGAUGUGUGAAGGCCCCCAGCUGUUGUGUCUGAGGCUCCCAGUGCUGGGAGAUGCUGGGCCACGUAACACCUUUGUUGUCUCCCUUUGCAGUCUGAGCAGGAUCUGCUGCUGCUUCCCACCAGCCUUUGUCAGCACUGUCCCUUGUUCAGACUGCUGCUGGACUGCUAAUGAGGCAGUAAUUGGCUCCAUGUCAGCAGGAUGGCAACAACCAGGGACCAUGUGCUACGUGUUCCCUGGAACAAGAGCAGCAGGAGAGCUGUGCUCUGGUCUCUGGACCUGGUCCUGACCAAACCAGGGCUUUGUUUACUCAAAUAGCUAAAGGGAACAUCCUUCCCCAGCACCCAGCUGUGCUGCGUGUGGAGCUUUUGCCCUGCAUUUUGCCCUGUUUGGGUGUUUCUGCCCUACUGUGAAUGUACCACCUGCAUAGUGCUAGUGCCCUGACUGCCAGGAGCAAGCAGCCCAUAGGAUCUGUUUGCAGAUUAUUCACAACUGGUUUUUCUCUUCCAUCUGCCUAACUUGACCAUCUGGUAUAUUCUUCAUUCCUACAGGAUAGGAUAGCAGCAAGGCUUCUGGGCCUGGCUUUCACUCCAAUUCAUCAGCAGCAAUAACACAGUCAUGGCAGAGCAUCUCUCUGACUCAGACAUUUUGGCUUACCAGCAUGGUGAUACCACACAUUAUUGCCCUAUAAACCUUUCUGGGUAGAAGUGCAAUGACUGGAUUAAGCAUCCCCAGCCUGCUUCCCAUGUGCUCUGCCUGCAGCAAUCCCAUCCUGUGCAUUCCAGGGCAAGUCAAGGCUUUUCUCUCUCAGCAAAAGGGGCUUGUGCAGAAACAGAUUUUGUUUCCAUCCAUUUUCCUCUGCUGCACCAAUAGAGUAACACAGAGACAACCAAUGUUCCUUUGGAGUGUAAUCAAACUUCCUCUUAUAUAUGGGCAUGUUU
ensembl:lncRNA